rnacentral:rRNA from 1 species
CACCUACGGGAGGCAGCAGUAACGAAUAUUGGACAAUGGGCGAAAGCCCUGAUCCAGCGACGCCGCGUGCUCGAAGAAGCCCUUCGGGGUGUAAAGAGCUUUUAACCGGGAUGAAUCCCGCUUUUAGCGGGAUGACAGUACCGGUUGAAUAAGGAGAUGCUAAUCACGUGCCAGCAGCCGCGGUAAUACGGAGACCCCUAGCGUUGUUCGGAAUCACUGGGCUUAGAGCGGGUGUAGGCGGGACGGUAAGUACUGAGUGAAAUCCCCGGUCUCAAACCGGGAACUGUUUGGUAUACUGCCGUUCUUGAGGCAGGUAGGGGUCACUGGAACCUUAGGUGGAGCGGUGAAAUGCGUAGAUAUCUAAGGGAACGCCUGUGGCGAAAGCGGGUGACUGGGCCUGUUCUGACGCUGAGACCCGAAAGCGUAGGGAGCAAACGGGAUUAGAUACCCCGGUAGUCUACGCCGUAAACGAUGCGCACUAGGCUCGAGGGUUCUGACGACCUUCGUGCCGCAAGAAAACCGAGAAGUGCGCCGCCUGGGGAGUACGGCCGCAAGGCUAAAACUCAAAGGAAUUGACGGGGGCUCACACAAGCGGUGGAG